UGGAUCCAGACAUUGAUCAUGGCUCAGGACGAACGCUGGCGGCGUGCUUAACACACGCAAGUCGAACGAGAAGAGAUGAGAAGCUUGCUUCUUAUUGAUUCGAGUGGCAAACGGGUGAGUAACGCGUAAGCAACCUGCCCUCUAGAUGGGGACAACAGCUGGAAACGGCUGCUAAUACCGAAUACGUUCUUUCUGUCGCAUGGCAGAGGGAAGAAAGGGAGGCUCUUUGGAGCUUUCGCUGGAGGAGGGGCUUGCGUCUGAUUAGCUAGUUGGAGGGGUAACGGCCCACCAAGGCGACGAUCAGUAGCCGGUCUGAGAGGAUGAACGGCCACAUUGGGACUGAGACACGGCCCAGACUCCUACGGGAGGCAGCAGUGGGGAAUCUUCCGCAAUGGACGAAAGUCUGACGGAGCAACGCCGCGUGAACGAUGACGGCCUUCGGGUUGUAAAGUUCUGUUAUACGGGACGAAUGGUACGACGGUCAAUACCCGUCGUAAGUGACGGUACCGUAAGAGAAAGCCACGGCUAACUACGUGCCAGCAGCCGCGGUAAUACGUAGGUGGCAAGCGUUGUCCGGAAUUAUUGGGCGUAAAGGGCGCGCAGGCGGCGUCGUAAGUCGGUCUUAAAAGUGCGGGGCUUAACCACGUGAGGGGACCGAAACUGCGAUGCUAGAGUAUCGGAGAGGAAAGCGGAAUUCCUAGUGUAGCGGUGAAAUGCGUAGAUAUUAGGAGGAACACCAGUGGCGAAAGCGGCUUUCUGGACGACAACUGACGCUGAGGCGCGAAAGCCAGGGGAGCAAACGGGAUUAGAUACCUCGGUAGUCCUGGCCGUAAACGAUGGAUACUAGGUGUAGGAGGUAUCGACCCCUUCUGUGCCGGAGUUAACGCAAUAAGUAUCCCGCCUGGGGAGUACGGCCGCAAGGCUGCAACUCAAAGGAAUUGACGGA
rnacentral:rRNA from 1 species